UUACAUUCAGCAAAAACCGUUCAUCAUGUUCGCUGUUAUAUUCGUGUCUCUGUGGCUUUCACUAGGUGACUCCAUGGCAGAUUCAAUAGAGCCACUUUCAACUCAUAAUGUUGUGGAUGAAGGUGACAAUAUUACUCUGUCCUGCAGCUACAAAUUCAGUGCUGUUUCAGGAAGCAACAACCUGCACUGGUACAGGCAAUAUCCAACAUCUAACCCUGAGUUCAUUCUUAAUAUUCUUCAAAGUGGAGAGCUAAUUUCCAACACUGACCCUAGAAUGUCUGCUAAAAUCGAUGAUAAAAAAGUGUAUCUGAUCAUCUCCUCUGCUGCUGUAUCAGACUCUGCUCGUAACCAUGGUAAGGGCACGACUGAUGCAGCUCACACGCAGAAACCGUGUUUUGCGUACCGUUCUGUGGUUGUUUGGACUUGCUGUUUGAAAAAGCAAGGUGUGAAACAGAGCAGCAUCUCAAAGCCAGGCGUUGACACCAGUUGCCGAAACCGGGGAGCUAUUUCAGCACCCGGGUCUGGGGGCUCCGGUAUGGUGUGA